GAUGAACGCUGGCGGCGUGCCUAAUACAUGCAAGUCGAGCGAAUGGAUUAGGAGCUUGCUCUUAUGAAGUUAGCGGCGGACGGGUGAGUAACACGUGGGUAACCUGCCCAUAAGACUGGGAUAACUCCAGGAAACCGGGGCUAAUACCGGAUAACAUUUUGAACCGCAUGGUUCGAAAUUGAAAGGCGGCUUCGGCUGUCACUUAUGGAUGGACCCGCGUCGCAUUAGCUAGUUGGUGAGGUAACGGCUCACCAAGGCAACGAUGCGUAGCCGACCUGAGAGGGUGAUCGGCCACACUGGGACUGAGACACGGCCCAGACUCCUACGGGAGGCAGCAGUAGGGAAUCUUCCGCAAUGGACGAAAGUCUGACGGAGCAACGCCGCGUGAGUGAUGAAGGCUUUCGGGUCGUAAAACUCUGUUGUUAGGGAAGAACAAGUGCUAGUUGAAUAAGCUGACACCUUGACGGUACCUAACCAGAAAGCCACGGCUAACUACGUGCCAGCCACCGCAGUAA
rnacentral:rRNA from 1 species